rnacentral:rRNA from 1 species
UACGUAGGGCGCAAGCGUUGUCCGGAAUUAUUGGGCGUAAAGAGCUCGUAGGCGGCUUGUCACGUCGGGUGUGAAAGCCCGGGGCUUAACCCCGGGUCUGCAUUCGAUACGGGCUAGCUAGAGUGUGGUAGGGGAGAUCGGAAUUCCUGGUGUAGCGGUGAAAUGCGCAGAUAUCAGGAGGAAUACCGGUGGCGAAGGCGGAUCUCUGGGCCAUUACUGACGCUGAGGAGCGAAAGCGUGGGGAGCGAACAGG